GACGAACGCUGGCGGCGUGCCUAAUACAUGCAAGUAGAACGCUGAAGGAGGAGCUUGCUUCUCUGGAUGAGUUGCGAACGGGUGAGUAACGCGUAGGUAACCUGCCUGGUAGCGGGGGAUAACUAUUGGAAACGAUAGCUAAUACCGCAUAAUAGUAGAUGUUGCAUGACAUUUGCUUAAAAGGUGCAAUUGCAUCACCACCAGAUGGACCUGCGUUGUAUUAGCUAGUUGGUGGGGUAACGGCUCACCAAGGCGACGAUACAUAGCCGACCUGAGAAGGUGAUCGGCCACACUGGGACUGAGACACGGCCCAGACUCCUACGGGAGGCAGCAGUAGGGAAUCUUCGGCAAUGGACGGAAGUCUGACCGAGCAACGCCGCGUGAGUGAAGAAGGUUUUCGGAUCGUAAAGCUCUGUUGUAAGAGAAGAACGAGUGUGAGAGUGGAAAGUUCACACUGUGACGGUAUCUUACCAGAAAGGGACGGCUAACUACGUG
rnacentral:rRNA from 1 species